rnacentral:tRNA from 1 species
GUUCCUGUAGUUAAAUUUCAUUAACGAUGGCUUUUCAGGCCAUAGAUCUUAGAGAGAGGCUAAGUAGGAACU